UCCAUAUCCACCUUGUGUGCAAUGUUUUUGGACUCUCUGUACGUUGAUAUCCCUUUGGGUCCGAUAGGACUUUAGGGGAAGGAAAACCUUAAGAGGGUUUGAUUAACUUAACACCUUUAAAGCAGUUUGUCUGAAUAUCUAUUUCUGAAUAAACAUAAUUCAAAAAUACAACUUUCAACAACGGAUCUCUUGGCUCUCGCAUCGAUGAAGAACGCAGCGAAAUGCGAUACGUAAUGUGAAUUGCAGAAUUCAGUGAAUCAUCGAAUCUUUGAACGCAUAUUGCGCUCUCUGGUAUUCCGGAGAGCAUGCUUGUUUGAGUAUCAGUAAACACCUCAAUUUCAUGAUUCUUUAUUUUGAAAUUGGACUUGAGCAGAUCCCAACGUACAUUCAAUUUUAUGGAGGGUUGCUUCAAAUGCAGGUGCAGCCGAUCAUUCUUCUGGGCUAAAAGCAUUAUCUAGUUAAUCCCGUAAAACGGAUUAUUCACUUUAUUGCUGCAGCUUACCUUAAAAGGAAGACAUGGUCAUUGUGCUGACUGAUGCAGGAAUUCUCAGAGGUCUGUAAAAAGACUUUUGAAAACUCGAUCUCAAAUCAAGUAAGACUACCCGCUGAACUUAAGCAUAUCAAUAAGCA
rnacentral:rRNA from 1 species